rnacentral:rRNA from 1 species
GACGAACGCUGGCGGCGUGCCUAAUACAUGCAAGUAGAACGCUGAAGGAGGAGCUUGCUUCUCUGGAUGAGUUGCGAACGGGUGAGUAACGCGUAGGUAACCUGCCUGGUAGCGGGGGAUAACUAUUGGAAACGAUAGCUAAUACCGCAUAAUAGUAGAUGUUGCAUGACAUUUGCUUAAAAGGUGCAAUUGCAUCACUACCAGAUGGACCUGCGUUGUAUUAGCUAGUUGGUGGGGUAACGGCUCACCAAGGCGACGAUACAUAGCCGACCUGAGAGGGUGAUCGGCCACACUGGGACUGAGACACGGCCCAGACUCCUACGGGAGGCAGCAGUAGGGAAUCUUCGGCAAUGGACGGAGGUCUGACCGAGCAACGCCGCGUGAGUGAAGAAGGUUUUCGGAUCGUAAAGCUCUGUUGUAAGAGAAGAACGAGUGUGAGAGUGGAAAGUUCACACUGUGACGGUAUCUUACCAGAAAGGGACGGCUAACUACGUG